UACGUAGGGUGCAAGCGUUAAUCGGAAUUACUGGGCGUAAAGCGCGCGCAGGCGGUUUUGUAAGUCUGUCGUGAAAUCCCCGGGCUUAACCUGGGAAUGGCGAUGGAGACUGCAAGGCUAGAGUUUGGCAGAGGGGGGUAGAAUUCCACGUGUAGCAGUGAAAUGCGUAGAGAUGUGGAGGAACACCGAUGGCGAAGGCAGCCCCCUGGGUCAAAACUGACGCUCAUGCACGAAAGCGUGGGGAGCAAACAGG
rnacentral:rRNA from 1 species